GACGAACGCUGGCGGCGUGCUUAACACAUGCCAGUCGAACGGAAAGGCCCUGCUUUUGUGGGGUGCUCGAGUGGCGAACGGGUGAGUAACACGUGAGUAACCUGCCCUUGACUUUGGGAUAACUUCAGGAAACUGGGGCUAAUACCGGAUAGGAGCUCCUGCUGCAUGGUGGGGGUUGGAAAGUUUCGGCGGUUGGGGAUGGACUCGCGGCUUAUCAGCUUGUUGGUGGGGUAGUGGCCUACCAAGGCUUUGUCGGGUAGCCGGCCUGAGAGGGUGACCGGCCACAUUGGGACUGAGAUACGGCCCAGACUCCUACGGGAGGCAGCAGUGGGGAAUAUUGCACAAUGGGCGGAAGCCUGAUGCAGCAACGCCGCGUGCGGGAUGACGGCCUUCGGGUUGUAAACCGCUUUCGCCUGUGACGAAGCGUGAGUGACGGUAAUGGGUAAAGAAGCACCGGCUAACUACGUG
rnacentral:rRNA from 1 species